CUACGAGUUUGAUCAUGGCUCAGAUUGAACGCUGGCGGAAUGCUUUACACAUGCAAGUCGAGCGGCAGCGCGGGGGCAACCCUGGCGGCGAGCGGCGAACGGGUGAGUAACAUAUCGGAACGUGCCCAAUCGGUGGGGGAUAACGUAGCGAAAGUUACGCUAAUACCGCAUAAGCCCUGAGGGGGAAAGCAGGGGAUCGCAAGACCUUGCGCGAAUGGAGCGGCCGAUGUCAGAUUAGCUAGUUGGUGGGGUAAAGGCCUACCAAGGCGACGAUCUGUAGCGGGUCUGAGAGGAUGAUCCGCCACACUGGGACUGAGACACGGCCCAGACUCCUACGGGAGGCAGCAGUGGGGAAUUUUGGACAAUGGGCGCAAGCCUGAUCCAGCCAUGCCGCGUGCGGGACGAAGGCCUUCGGGUUGUAAACCGCUUUCAGCCGGAAAGAAAUCGCCAAGGCUAAUAUCCUUGGUGGAUGACGGUACCGGAAGAAGAAGCACCGGCUAACUACGUG
rnacentral:rRNA from 1 species